GACGAACGCUGGCGGCGCGCUUAACACAUGCAAGUCGAACGGAAAGGCCCUGCUUUUGUGGGGUGCUCGAGUGGCGAACGGGUGAGUAACACGUGAGUAACCUGCCCUUGACUUUGGGAUAACUUCAGGAAACUGGGGCUAAUACCGGAUAGGAGCUCCUGCUGCAUGGUGGGGGUUGGAAAGCUUCGGCGGUUGGGGAUGGACUCGCGGCUUAUCAGCUUGUUGGUGGGGUAGUGGCUUACCAAGGCUUUGACGGGUAGCCGGCCUGAGAGGGUGACCGGCCACAUUGGGACUGAGAUACGGCCCAGACUUCUACGGGAGGCAGCAGUGGGGAAUAUUGCACAAUGGGCGGAAGCCUGAUGCAGCAACGCCGCGUGCGGGAUGACGGCCUUCGGGUUGUAAACCGCUUUCGCCUGUGACGAAGCGUGAGUGACGGUAAUGGGUAAAGAAGCACCGGCUAACUACGUGCCAGCAGCCGCGGUGAUACGUAGGGUGCGAGCGUUGUCCGGGUUUAUUGGGCGUAAAGGGCUCGUAGGUGGUUGAUCGCGUCGGAAGUGUAAUCUUGGGGCUUAACCCUGAGCGUGCUUUCGAUACGGGUUGACUUGAGGAAGGUAGGGGAGAAUGGAAUUCCUGGUGGAGCGGUGGAAUGCGCAGAUAUCAGGAGGAACACCAGUGGCGAAGGCGGUUCUCUGGGCCUUUCCUGACGCUGAGGAGCGAAAGCGUGGGGAGCGAACAGGCUUAGAUACCCUGGUAGUCCACGCUGUAAACGGUGGGUACUAGGUGUGGGGUCCAUUCCACGGGUUCCGUGCCGUAGCUAACGCUUUAAGUACCCCGCCUGGGGAGUACGGCCGCAAGGCUAAAACUCAAAGGAAUUGACGGGGCCCCGCACAAGCGGCGGAGCAUGCGGAUUAAUUCGAUGCAACGCGUAGAACCUUACCUGGGUUUGACAUGGAUCGGGAGUGCUCAGAGAUGGGUGUGCCUCUUUUGGGGUCGGUUCACAGGUGGUGCAUGCCUGUCGUCAGCUCGUGUCGUGAGAUGUUGGGUUAAGUCCCGCAACGAGCGCAACCCUUGUUCACUGUUGCCAGCACGUUAUGGUGGGGACUCAGUGGAGACCGCCGGGGUCAACUCGGAGGAAGGUGGGGAUGACGUCAAGUCCUCAUGCCCCUUAUGUCCAGGGCUUCACGCAUGCUACAAUGGCUGGUACAGAGAGUGGCGAGCCUGUGAGGGUGAGCGAAUCUCGGAAAGCCGGUCUCAGUUCGGAUUGGGGUCUGCAACUCGACCUCAUGAAGUCGGAGUCGCUAGUAAUCGCAGAUCAGCAACGCUGCGGUGAAUACGUUCCCGGGGCU
rnacentral:rRNA from 1 species